CCAAUUCAACUUUAACCCAUGCCUAAGGGAGGCCAUCUGGUGGGCGGCCCUGUUGCUGUCAGCCGGAGUAAGGGACUAGGGUUUUCUGGUGGCGGCUCUUGGCUGCGGUUGCAGGGAAUCAAAAGAGGGUGGGCCGCUGAGACGGUGUGCUGUGCGUGAGAGACGACGGAGAGGGAGAUCGGUGGUAGGGGUACGAGUGAUGGUGGUCGUGGCCGCGACGGCGGCUGUUUCCGCCGGGGAAGAAGGGUCCGCGCCGCUGGUUCAGGAUGUGUGUGUGUGAUGUUAUGUUUUCAAGGAGAGAGAGUUGUGAGAGCAGAGGGUGGCCGGAGAGGCGGCGACUUCGCCAGGAAGGAAAGGGGGCGGUGGUUGUGAGUCCAGUGUGUGUGCGUUGAGAGAGAGAGAGUUUAGAGAAGAUGCGAAGAAAUCGGCUGGGUCAAGAUUCAAGAAGAAAAAAAAAGGUAACUAGGUUUGGGCCAGUGUUGGACCGAUUUUUAUUAAAUAAUGGGCUGCGAUUUUAUUAAAGUUUAAGGCCCUUACUUUUAUUAAUUUGAACUUGGGUCUUUUAUUUUAACUAUGUAUGGGCUGCCCAUUUAAAAUUCAUUUGGGUGGAGAUUUUUAUAAAAAGAAAAUGAGAUAUUUAUAUAAUUUAUUAAUUGGACUUUAUUAUUAAGUCUAAUUAAUUAUUUUAAAGAAUGAUUGCAUAAUAUUAUAUAUUAUGAUGCGCUUAUAUUAAGUGUAAUUAUUUUUAUUUAAGGCAUGAAAUGAAUUUGCAUUAAAGCAUUUUGCAAAUAAAAGCAUUUAUUAUUCAAAUUGGUUUUUCAUAAAUCUAAUUAUUAAAGAAAAUCGAGUAAGAUAUUGUUGGUGUUCUUAGCUCAAGAAAUUUCAGUUUUCAAUUGUUUACUUAUUAAAUUUUGAAAAACCCGGCGCAUAAUCAUAGAAUGUUAAGCACUUCACUAGACCUAAGAUUAGAUUCAGGAGACCUAUUAAGAUUAUAGAUUUCUUGUAGGCUUGAGGAUCAGGAGGAUUAGCACUGUUAUUCCGAUUCAGAGUUAUGAUCAAACUACAGGCUUUGCCUAAUCAGGUGGGCUUACUUUCCAAAUGUAUAAAGUAUGAUUGAGCUAUUAAGCUCUAAAUGUUUCAAUGAAAUGCAAACUGUUUAUUUAAUGAAAUGCAAAUUGUUUAUCCAAUAAAAUGUUUAUGUGCACUCUGCUCUAUUUAAGGCUCGCAAAGUUAAUCAAUUGAGGUUCUCUUAUGACCUAACACGUUGUUUGAGAAUUGUGUACACUUGUUAGCUGACUCGGUGAGUUGAUCUCCAUCGGGCACUAACCAGAUGCGUUAUAAGGGUGCUCGACUGGAUGUGUUCCGGAGCAUGAGAAAUAUAAGGCUUGCCUGGGUAGGGUCCUGAGGUCAAAGUAAACUUGUUUGGGUUACGCCCUCAAUUCAAGUAAGCAGGAGACAGAGAUUCGUCGGUGGCUAAAAGGUCCAGGAUCACAGCAAGUAACAGAAAUGGAGUGCGGCAUGUGCGCACAAAUGAAAGAAAUUAUGUUAACAUGCUUAGAAGUUCUUUCAAUUUAAAAUCUUCUAAGUUAUGUCAAUUAUGAUUGGAUAAGUUGUCUUUACGAAAAUAUGAAAUGUUUAUGAAAAUGCUUGCCCACUGAGUACAUUAGUACUUAGCCCAAAAAUACUUCCAAAUAUUUUUAGGUUGGCUGGUCGGUGCUAACGGGACGGAGCUGAGCGGAUUCAAUAUUUUAUUAAGACUUCCGUUGUAGCACUAGCUCUUAACUGUCUUUUGUUUUCUCAAUUUAAGACUUUCAUGUUAAAUUUCAAAUGAUAACCCUGAUCGAAUUUAGACUCUUAACUCCUAGAUUUAUGCUAAUGAAUGUCGGUUGUCAGAAGCAUGAAAUAAAACUUGUGAUCCAAAGGGGUCUAGCCCGAUUUGUUAUCAUAUUAUUCAGG
rnacentral:lncRNA from 1 species